rnacentral:rRNA from 1 species
CCUACGGGUGGCAGCAGUGGGGAAUAUUGCACAAUGGGCGCAAGCCUGAUGCAGCCAUGCCGCGUGUGUGAAGAAGGCCUUCGGGUUGUAAAGCACUUUCAGCGGGGAGGAAGGCGUUAAGAUUAAUAACCUUGGCGAUUGACGUUACCCGCAGAAGAAGCACCGGCUAACUCCGUGCCAGCAGCCGCGGUAAUACGGAGGGUGCAAGCGUUAAUCGGAAUUACUGGGCGUAAAGCGCACGCAGGCGGUCUGUCAAGUCGGAUGUGAAAUCCCCGGGCUCAACCUGGGAACUGCAUUCGAAACUGGCAGGCUAGAGUCUUGUAGAGGGGGGUAGAAUUCCAGGUGUAGCGGUGAAAUGCGUAGAGAUCUGGAGGAAUACCGGUGGCGAAGGCGGCCCCCUGGACAAAGACUGACGCUCAGGUGCGAAAGCGUGGGGAGCAAACAGGAUUAAUACCCGGGUAGUC